GGAGGGCAAGUCUGGUGCCAGCAGCCGCGGUAAUUCCAGCUCCAAUAGCGUAUAUUAAAGUUGUUGCAGUUAAAAAGCUCGUAGUUGAAUUUCGGGGUUAGUAGGCUGGUCAUGCCACCGGUAUGUACUGGUCUUACUGAUUCCUCCUUCCUGAUGAACUGUAAUGCCAUUAAUUUGGUGUUGCAGGGAAUCUGGACUGUUACUUUGAAAAAAUUAGAGUGUUUAAAGCAGGC
rnacentral:rRNA from 1 species